rnacentral:tRNA from 1 species
CGGGGCGUAGCUCAGCUGGCUAGAGCGCUCGGUUCGGGGCCGUGAGGUCGCUGGUUCAAGUCCAGUCGCCCCGA